UUUUUUAUAGCAGAAAUUACAUCUUAGUCAUGUAUCCUUGAUCUGUCUUGUCAAUUCUGGAAACAGUGUUCAUAUAUAUUGUUUAGUCUUAUAUCUAGAUACCUCACUGGUUUUCAUAUUUAAGAACAGUUUCUUUGCAUUCAGAUUUCUGACAGCUCUGGGUUUGUACUACCAAAUUAGUCAUGCGAAGAAUAAAAAAUAUUGCUGUGAAUUGAAUUAUAUCAUCGGCAGAAUAAAUACAAGAAAACAUUUCAAAGACAGCAUUAUCCCUACCAUCUCCUCAAAAGAAAAUGGUGCUGGCAGGUUUUUGUGAAUCAAGGGCUCUGUUCAAAGUGAUUUCAUAAGAACUUUUCUAUAUUCUACAUUUAAACUGAGUAUUUCUGUCUAAGCACUGAAUCUAGAUAAAAGAUAAAAGCAAAUGACAUAUGUAACAGAUGAAAAUUUAGGGACAUCCUGGCCAUGAAGCUAAAAAAAGCUUCACUAAUGAUUUAGUCCUUUGUAAUAAUGGGAUAAAGUGCACCUCACACUGGGACAUUUACCACAUGUCUGGACAGUUCUCAUUCUUUGGCUUUUUAACUAAGCAUGGGUCUCCUGUCCAAACUAAGGAGAGGACAUUCAAAGUGCUGGAAGAGAUAUUUCUGAGAAAAAGCAGGUACAAACAUGCAGACAAAACAAAAUCUGUCAGAAAAUAUCACCAUGGUCUAAGUAAGACCUGACUCUAUCGAUGCUUACACUCAUGCUUAUUUUUUCUAUUAGUGAGUGGCCUUAGUGAUGUGACAAUUCAGAACAAAACUGAGCAGUACUGAACCUGUGCUCCUGCUCAGAGGCUUAAAAAGGCCCGUGUUUCCACACUAGCCAUGAAGUUACUAAUAAUUUCCCCACAAACUCUGUAUACACCUUUGUAAUUUUCAUUCCCCUUGCAUAAUGUGUAUCCCACAAAGGGCAGUAAGGAAUCAAAUGUGAUGGAUGGUGGUAACCCCAUGGACUAGGGUGAGAACUGCCUUGUGAGAGGGGUGUGUUGCUCCUAUACCAUCACCUCAAUGAUGUACUCAUCCAAAGGGCUGUUUGUGCAUCCUUUUGAGGCAGGAACAAACAUGUUGUGUGCUACAGGCCAUCAAUUUGACGGUUUCUAGCCCUCCGUAGCCAAGGAGGUGACAUCAGAUCUGCUGCCAUGGGAGGGCAGCAAGGAUUUGUGCCUGCUUGAUGGGAAGGUCUGUGCACAGCACGAGGUGGUUGCAGUGCCUGUAUGCCUCCCUGGGACCUCCAGUGGCCAUGGCUCAUGGUUUGUAUUAAGUGAAGGAGCAGAAAGAGAUGUCACAGCUGUUGUAGAAAGUGAGAUGUAUAUUUUGAGGAAAUCAAUGAGUUAUAAUAUUUUUUUCCUUCUCUUUCAAGGCAGGUAUAUGGCUCCAAAGUGGGGUAUCUGAGAUGUUUCUCAUGUAAGCUGAAUACCUACAUACUGGGAGAGCUGCAGGUCUAGCUGCACAUUUGGAAGUUUGGAAAAUUCCUCUGGCACUCCAGAAAAAUUGCUUUGCGAAAGUCCUCCGUAUUAAACUCUAAUGCAAACAGUACUCCCAAUACCUGACCAUAAGAUAAUGCAGGCUGGAAGGGACCUCAGGAGUCUUCUGGUCCUGCCUCCUGCUCACAGCAGGGUUGCCUGCUAGGUCAGGCCAGGUUACUCAGGGCCAUUUCUGAUCAUCUGAAAUGGAGCCUGGCAAAGGGUUGGAUGGCUGAAUGCCUUCAGCCUUUCACUGUCAUGCAGGAUUCUCCCCAUCAGAGAGUAUAAAAAUAUCUCCAUAACGCAAACAGGUUGGGAAAGCUUUAAAAUCAAUCUGUCCCUGUUACCUGUAUACUGAGUUAAAAGGGUUGAAAGAUAUAAAAUGUUUAAGGAUUACCAGGAUUAAAAGAAUAAGCAGAUUAAAAAAAUCACAAUGGGUCUUCUGUAAAAUGUUUUGAUUCUUCAAUUGUCAUCUAAAAUCAAAUGGUUAUUUAGUCUAAUGUCCCUUGAGAGGAUUUGUCCCAGAUUGGUGGGAAAGCAUAUCCUUAUGUUACAAACAGGAUGCCAAGAACACACACUGUAUUCAUAACUGAACUGAAUGUUUAUAUGCAUUUGAAUUGUAAAAAUCUGAACAGAUUGAAAAAACUUAAAUUAUCCAUACUGCAUAAUUAAUUGGUAAUAUUGUUCUACAAACAGGGUGCUUAACAGGCUUAAGAUAGCUCAUUCUUUGCCAGGUAGCAAAUAGCACUAUUGCUUUAACUGUCCAUAAAAUCAAGUGAAUACAUGCUGGAACUGUGAGCUUCAUAUCCAUGUUACUCCACAAGCAGAGCUCAGUAAAUCAUCUGACCUGUCUGCAUAUUGUGUUUCACAAUAGAUAAUGUUAUCCGGUUUGUUUAUUUUUUUUUUUCUUUAUACUUUAAGAAGGAUUUAUAUGCUCUUUUUCAAAAGGACAUUCUGGAAAAGGCUAGCUACAAUAAUGAAGGUAGGUAAAAUUUAUAAAAUAGCUGAUGAGGAGAGUGAGAACACGAUGCUAUGGAAAUAACACAAUUCAGAUAUUUUCCUACUGAAAUUAGCAGUAGUAAUAAUAGAUGGUGUAUAUCUUAAAGCAAAUAUAAGAGGAGAGUCGAAAAAAUCUGACAAUUGCUUUUAUGUGUGUGGUGCUGAUUGAAAGUAAUGGGCUGUUUUAUUUUCUUUGGAAAAUGAAGUCUUUUUUUGUAAGUAUCCUUUAAAAGUAAAAAGUGAUACCAUAGAAUCAGUACCCAGCCUGACUCCAGAAGAGACAUUGCUAGAGCUGGAAAUUUAAUUUUGCUAUUUUGAGUCACUCAAACCUUGGACUUUCUGCCAAUCUGCAAAGUAAUCAGGCUAGAAAAUCUUAUGACAGAGGCACCUGCUGCUAGGAAACCCAGAUUAAUAUUACCAGCACAUACUGAGUAGGCUACUGAACAGCCAACCCAUACUAAUGAUGCCUGGGCUGGGAAGUCAGCUGGCAGCCUCGAGAUACCCCAUUGUUGGUCCCCUGAGCUCUGCAGCUCUGCAGCUUCCCAGUACAGCACAGACUCUUCUUGACAGAGCAACUUUGCCGUUUCGUUUUCAAUUCAUUUAUUCCAAAGUAGGUCAUGCCAUGCCAUCUGUUGACACUUAAAACCCACAGAAGUUUCCAGAUUCUGUGUGGUCUCCUGUAGUUUAACAUAUAUUUUUAAUACCCUGUUGCUCUACCUAGCUGCUGGAUGUACUCAGACUUCUAAUCACAACAGCUUGUUAAUCACAUAAUACAAAUGAGUGCAGGUCUUGAAGUAAUAUACUAGAGGUGAGUAUGGCUGAGGGGAGGGAACACAACAAGAAGGGCCUGGUUUUUUUGCUGAUGGUGAAUCCUGGGCAGUAGAGCUUUCAACUAAGAGGUGAUCGUGUCCACCUGCUUUUUGCUUCCCAGCAGCCUUGUUGAAAGCUUAGGAAAGCAAUCAGUCCCCAGAUAGGUACAUAGUGGGUUUUUUCAGGCUGCAGUUAAAUUUGCUUCUCUAGUUCUCUAACUGUGGGUAUGUGAAUUGAAGAGUAUUUCAUAUCCACAGCUGUCUUUAAGUUCCUUGCACAGAUUCUCAGGUCUCUGCUAUGUGCCUGUUCAUUGUGAAUUACCCACAUACUAUGAGAAUGAUUAAAAAAAAAACCCAAAAGACUAGUGCUCCUGAUUUCAAGUAAUGACAUUCAAUUUAUCACAGGAAGAUUUCUGGAAAGGCACAUGUCCACAUGGGUGCAAUGCUGGCAUGGCCCACAACUCCUAACAAAUAUCCUUGGUAUGUGGCACAGUAAGCAACACUGAAAACUGAUAUCAAUUUCAACAAACCUGCAAAUUCACUAUACCUGUAAACAUAUUUUUGCCAGCAGUAAACACAGAAGUAUACAUGGUGAGUGCAAACAUACUGUCUACUUAUACUUGUGAUACUACAAAUUACAUUUUAAAAAAGACUACAAAAAUCAUUGUGUGCUAUAGUAGUUAUAGUUACUGUGUUAUUGCUUUGCACAGCCCCACUGUGACUAGAUAAAGAAUGGGUUUGAAUGUAUUUUUGAAAUUAAUAUCGUAAGCAAAUAAUUAUUAAUGAACACCCUUAAGGCUUGUUGUGUUUGUAUUUGCACAAUUGGUACAAAUCAAGAACAAAAAUAAUUACUCUUUUUAAUGUAAUUUACCAGGGUAUUAUGGGAAAUGUCAACACUUAAUACAAAUGUUUUUAUUAUUAUGUAAUAUAUCAUACUUCUGCUUUUUAAAAAUAACAACAUAAAAGUUUUGAGGGUAAAGAGAUUUUCAAUUAGACACAGUAAGCUGCUGGUUUUCUGUCUUAAUAGCUCUUCUGUACUACUAAAUCCACAACAAAAUAUUUAAUAGUAAUUUUUGAUGUCUAACAUGUAAUCCAUUUAAGAUUCCUGUGGAUUGCAAAUAUAAAAUAAAUUUGCUGUCUAUCUGCAAAAUAGUAUACUCAUAUGAAAUAAACUAGAGGCUUUAAAAUAUUUUUUUUGAGAAGAAAAUGUCCAUCUGUAUUUAAAUAUAAAUUUUAAAAUAGAAAAUUGUAUAUUGAAUUGUUUGAGUUGUUGUUAAACAGUCUUCUGACUGUUUAACCCAGGAAUACAUACUGUCUGUGAACAAACAGCUGUAAUACUUGAAAGACUCACUGUAUUAAAAAUAAAGAACUUAAAGAGCUGCAAAGUACUUUCUUCCUCCAAGGGAAUAAAAGAGCUAGGACCUAA